AGGGACAACCCACCAUUCCUCUUCCUCCUCCUCUAAGGGGAUUUCCUCUGUACUCAGAGCAGGAGGAGGCAUCUCCUCCACGCACACAGGCUCAUCAAAAUUACAACGUCUCAACAUGUUACGAUGCAAGUUUUGUGAGGGCCUCCCAGUAGAAAUAUUCCAUAGUU